rnacentral:lncRNA from 1 species
GGGGGAUCUCCCAUUGACAAAUAGAACCACUGUUGGAUACAAACCUCUCAGUUGAUUUCAGCUCCUACUGAAAGAUGGAAAAAUCAAUUCCAUGAUAAAUGAAAAGUGAUGAUUUUUCGGUUUCCAAGGAAACACAAGAAACAGUGGUAAGAAAAGCAUCAAAAUAAUGAAGGUACCCAAGGGCAUCACUAUGAAGUUGGGAGCCAUAUCUGAACCUAUGAAACCCCAACCAUUGGCACCAUUUUGAGGUUAAAAGUAUGCCCAGAAAACCCUAGGUUAAAAUGCAGUGGUCACGUGCAUUGCUUCUAUCUUUGCUUGAGAUGCUUUUCAAAUAUGUGUGUUCUCUGUAGAUGUGCCCAAGGGAAUGAGGAAAGGCUGGAAGAAUCUCAUGGAGAAAAUUGGUCUGGCAGGGCACAUAGGAUUGUUGGCAACAGUGGUUCCUGAGUCAAUGAGUCGACAGCAUGAUUUCAGCACUGCCUUUGUUCAAAGACAUAGACUGCAACUCAGUAGGAAUAUAGAACUACCAUGGGCCACACAUGUGCAAGACUUUCCUGCCAGUCAGGGGACCAGAGAAAUGCUGGUCUCGCAGAGCCAGCUAGCGUGUCUCUACAUGAAGAUGGCAGCGGACACCUUUUUGAGAACAAGGAAAUCCCAGCGGAAGGAAGGAUCUAUCAGUUGCUCCUGUUUCAUGCCAAGAAUUCUAAUUUAUGUGGUUGGGGUUAUAAUAACCCCCAUUUCACAGUGAUGAAGAGGGUAAGACAUUAUUCCACGGCCACAUGCAGCUGGAGGAGAGAAGGUAUAUGGAAAUAUUCCUUAUGAGUGACACAAAGUGCUAUAUGAAUUCUGAGAAAAAUAAAAUUUUCAAAAGACUUGAUCAGUGAAAGUGUUAACUAUGGUUUGGUCACCCAUUUCACCUCUCUCUGGGGACCAGCACCCCCGACUUUGGAGGAACUGUUUUCGUUUUCACUGUGGGGUUCCUGCUAUGUGGUUGGGUGCACCGCCUCCAACUGGACCAAUCAGAGUCUUUGGAAAUUUGGGGAUUAGAACCAAGGGACAAAGCUUUCUUCUUGGCUGGUAAAGCUGUAAAAUCUUGUCUGUCAUGUGCCUGACUUGUCCUCAGCUCUGAGGAUGGAGCUAGGCUGUGGUAGGAGAGAAUGAUGGUGAUGUACAGAGAGGCAAGUCCUGGAAGUGGAGAGGUGGAGUCCUGGAGACCUUCAGGUUAAGGCUUGGAGGCUACGUCCUUUUCUUCUUUACUGUGACAGAGGACUUGUCACCUUCUCUUCUGGGAAUGAUACCAUCUUUCCUCGAAGUGUUAUUAGAAUGUGAUUUUAAAAAUCCUGCACUCCAGCGUUCAUUGCAGCACUGUCUAUGAUAGUCAAGAUAUGGAAGCAACCUCAAUGUCCAUCAACAGAAGAUUGGAUAAAGACGAUGUGGUAUAUAUAUUACAAUGGAAUAUUACUCAGCUAUAAAAAAGAAUGAAAUAAUGCUAUUUGCCGCAACAUGGAUAGACCUAGAAAUUACAAUACUAAAUCAGUCAAAGACAAAUAGUAUAUGAGAUCACUAAAUGCGGAAUCUAAUAAAAAUGAUACAAAAGAACUUACAAAACAGAAACAGAUUCAAGGAUUUUGAAAACAAACUUAUGGUUAGUGAAGGGGACAUGUGGAAGGGAGGGAUAAAUUAGGGGGGUGGGAUUGAAACACACAUACUACUAUAUAUAGGUAACAAGGACCUACUGUAUAGCACAGAGAAAUCUACUUAAUACUGUGUAAUGACAUAUAUGGGAAAAUAAUCUGAAAAGGAAUGUAUGUAUGUGUAUAUAUAUAACGGAUUUACUUUGCUGUACACCUGAAAUUAAUACAACUUUGUAAGUCAACUACAAUAAAAUUAAAAAAGGGGUUCCCAUUGUGGUGCAGUGGAAACAAAUCUGACUAGGAUCCAUGAGGAUUGCAGGUUUGAUCCCUGGCCUUGCUAAGUGGGUCGGGGAUUCAGCAUUGCCAUGAGCUGUGGUGUAGGUUGCAGAGGCGACUUGGAUCCCACGUUGUUGUGG